CCUACGGGAGGCAGCAGUGAGGAAUAUUGGUCAAUGGGCGAGAGCCUGAACCAGCCAAGUCGCGUGAGGGAAGACGGCCCUAUGGAUUGUAAACCUCUUUUGUCGGGGAGUAAAAAGCGGUACGCGUACCGCACCGAGAGUAUCCGGAGAAAAAGCAUCGGCUAACUCCGUGCCAGCAGCCGCGGUAAUACGGAGGAUGCGAGCGUUAUCCGGAUUUAUUGGGUUUAAAGGGUGCGUAGGCGGCGGGUUAAGUUAGCGGUAAAAUUUCGGGGCUCAACCCCGACAAGCCGUUGAAACUGGCUGGCUAGAGAGGGCGUGAGGUAGGCGGAAUGCGUGGUGUAGCGGUGAAAUGCAUAGAGAUCACACAGAACUCCGAUUGCGAAGGCAGCAUACCGGGGCCCAACUGACGCUCAGGCACGAAAGCGUGGGGAGCGAACAGGAUUAGAUACCCUUGUAGUC
rnacentral:rRNA from 1 species